rnacentral:rRNA from 1 species
GAUGAACGCUAGCGGCAGGCCUAACACAUGCAAGUCGAACGGUAACAGGUGUAGCAAUACAUGCUGACGAGUGGCGCACGGGUGCGUAACACGUAUGCAACAUACCUUUAACUGGGGAAUAGCUUCGAGAAAUCGAAAUUAAUGUCUCAUAAUAAUUUGAUCAGGCAUCUGGUUAAAUUUAAAACUCCGGUGGUUAGAGAUAGGCAUGCGUCCUAUUAGCUUGUUGGUGAUGUAACGGCUCACCAAGGCGACGAUAGGUAGGGGGCCUGAGAGGGUUAUCCCCCACACUGAAACUGAAACACGGUCAAGACGCCUACGGGAGGCAGCAGUGAGGAAUAUUGGUCAAUGGUCGCAAGACUGAACCAGCCAUGCCGCGUGCAGGAUGAAGGCCCUCUGGGUUGUAAACUGCUUUUAUCUGGGAAUAAACCCCUUUACGUGUAAAGGGCUGAAGGUACCAGAUUAAUAAGGACCGGCUAACUUCGUGCCAGCCGCCGCCGUAACAC